UACGAAGGGGGCUAGCGUUGUUCGGAAUCACUGGGCGUAAAGCGCACGUAGGCGGAUUGUUAAGUCGGGGGUGAAAUCCUGAGGCUCAACCUCAGAACUGCCUUCGAUACUGGCAAUCUCGAGUCCGGAAGAGGUUGGUGGAACAGCUAGUGUAGAGGUGAAAUUCGUAGAUAUUAGCUAGAACACCAGUGGCGAAGGCGGCCAACUGUCCGGUACUGACGCUGAGGUGCGAAAGCGUGGGGAGCAAACAGGG
rnacentral:rRNA from 1 species